UACGUAGGGUGCAAGCGUUAAUCGGAAUUACUGGGCGUAAAGCGUGCGCAGGCGGUUAUGUAAGACAGAUGUGAAAUGCCCGGGCUUAACCUGGGAACUGCAUUUGUGACUGCAUGGCUAGAGUUUGGCAGAGGGGGUAGAAUUCCACGUGUAGCAGUGAAAUGCGUAGAUAUGUGGAGGAACACCGAUGGCGAAGGCAGCCCCCUGGGUCAAGACUGACGCUCAUGCACGAAAGCGUGGGGAGCAAACAGG
rnacentral:rRNA from 1 species